GAUGAACGCUGACAGAAUGCUUAACACAUGCAAGUCUACUUGAUCCUUCGGGUGAUGGUGGCGGACGGGUGAGUAACGCGUAAAGAACUUGCCCUGCAGUCUAGGACAACAUUUGGAAACGAAUGCUAAUACCGGAUAUUAUGUGAGUUUCGCAUGAAAUUCAUAUGAAAGCUAUAUGCGCUGCAGGAGAGCUUUGCGUCCUAUUAGUUAGUUGGUGAGGUAACGGCUCACCAAGACGAUGAUGGGUAGCCGGCCUGAGAGGGUGAACGGCCACAAGGGGACUGAGACACGGCCCUUACUCCUACGGGAGGCAGCAGUGGGGAAUAUUGGACAAUGGACCAAAAGUCUGAUCCAGCAAUUCUGUGUGCACGAUGAAGUUUUUCGGAAUGUAAAGUGCUUUCAGUUGGGAAGAAGAAAGUGACGGUACCAACAGAGGAAGCGACGGCUAAAUACGUGCCAGCAGCCGCGGUAAUACGUAUGUCGCAAGCGUUAUCCGGAUUUAUUGGGCGUAAAGCGCGUCUAGGCGGUUUGGUAAGUCUGAUGUGAAAAUGCGGGGCUCAACUCCGUAUUGCGUUGGAAACUGCUAAACUAGAGUACUGGAGAGGUAGGCGGAACUACAAGUGUAGAGGUGAAAUUCGUAGAUAUUUGUAGGAAUGCCGAUGGGGAAGCCAGCCUACUGGACAGAUACUGACGCUAAAGCGCGAAAGCGUGGGUAGCAAACCAGG
rnacentral:rRNA from 1 species